rnacentral:rRNA from 1 species
AACGAACGCUGGCGGCAUGCCUAACACAUGCAAGUCGAACGAGACCUUCGGGUCUAGUGGCUCACGGGUGCGUAACGCGUUGGAACCUGCCCUUAUGUUCGGAAUAACUCCCCGAAAGGGGUGCUAAUACCGGAUAAUGUCUUCGGACCAAAGAUUUAUCGCCUUUGGAUGGGCCCGCGUUGGAUUAGCUAGUUGGUAGGGUAAAAGCCUACCAAGGCGACGAUCCAUAGCUGGUCUGAGAGGAUGAUCAGCCACACUGGGACUGAGACACGGCCCAGACUCCUACGGGAGGCAGCAGUGGGGAAUAUUGGACCAUGGGCGAAAGCCUGAUCCAGCAAUGCCGCGUGAGUGAUGAAGGCCUUAGGGUUGUAAAGCUCUUUUAGCCGGGAUGAUAAUGACAGUACCGGGAGAAUAAGCUCCGGCUAACUCCGUG